rnacentral:misc_RNA from 1 species
AAGUCAUAACAAGGUUUCUGUAGGUGAACCUGCAGAAGGAUCAUUAGUGAAAUAAAAGGGCUUUGGAUUCGUCCAGCCCAACCUUUUCAAUCUAAACCCGUUGCGUCGGGCAACCGCGCAACAAAAACCUUUUUUAUUAAACUCGUUUUAAUAUACACAAAAGUCAUGUGUUGACUCAAAACCCACAACCAUAUAACUAAAAGAAAACUUUUGACAACGGAUCUCUUGGUUCUCC